rnacentral:tRNA from 1 species
UCCUUCAUGAUGGAAUGGUAGACAUCCGUGAUUCAAAAUCAUGUGCUAAUAAGCGUACCGGUUCGAGUCCGGUUGAAGGAA